AAGAAGGCCAAAAGAAGAAGGACAAUGAAGAGAAUGAUCAAUGAUCGAAUUGUCACACUUCUUGUUUUUCUAUUGUCCAUUUUUUCUUUCCUUUUUUUUU
rnacentral:ribozyme from 13 species